CUUCAGCUGCAAUCGUAGCUUCUGUUAAUAAAACAUUUGAAUUAUCAGAGGUGGCACUAAUAACUAACAAGUAAUCUCUAUAUGCUCUAUCGUAAUCAUAGCAGCAAUAAAUUUGUGUGUCUUCUGGCUGAAGGUGAGUAUCUUGUGCUUGGCUGAGGGGAAAAUCUCUUUUGUGUUCUGCCUGCAACUCUUUGUACAAAGAUUCUUUCAGGUCGCAGUGAGGGGACCAUUCAAGCACCCUGAGCCUGUUGGAGAAAAGGUAGGCUCUAAGUGGAAUCAUACAUCAAAUAUGCAAACUAAAUAUUCCAAAGAGCUUGUAUUGAGCAACAUUGGUUAUUCAAUCCCUGUUUCAGAAGAGCUGUGAACUCGAAAGCCGAAUGCAGUCACUCUGCGUGCUUCUACCUGGAGGGACUUCUCUUGUCGGGACACCACUGCAGGGGAGGCCCUUUCCUGUGCCAUCACCACACAAUAAGGUGCAUCUCAGUCACACAAGAAAUAGAAUUUUGCAAGCCUUCAGGAAACUUAACGGCAAGUGAACUUCACACUCCACAAUUCAGUGAUCUUUUUCAGUACAAUCCUUUUGGGCUGGCUUCUCCAUUUCCCCCCGCUUGAUCUCUUCACAGUUCUGUCCAAGAGCCCACCACACUCAGGGGAAGCCAGCUCUUCCUGCAGAAGUCAGACCAGCAGAAGGAACUUCCAGGCCCAUGAAUUCACACUUCAGAGGGACAAACAAAAAGAAAGGAGAAAUGGAUAUGGAAAUGACCGGCAGAAUCCGAGACCAGGGAGAAGAGUCGGUGGAAGAAGAUUGGAAGAAAUUUAAAGACUAUUUACAGAAAC